AUUGAACGCUGGCGGCAGGCCUAACACAUGCAAGUCGAGCGAGUGGCGGACGGGUGAGUAAUGUAUGGGGACUGCCCGAUAGAGGGGGAUAACUACUGGAAACGGUAGCUAAUACCGCAUACUAUCUGCUAACCCAUAUGGGAGUAGCUAGUAGGUGGGGUAAUGGCUCACGUCGGCGACGAUCCCUAGCUGGUCUGAGAGGAUGAUCAGCGACACGGGGACUGAGACACGGCCCAGACUCCUACGGAGGCAGCAGUGGGGAAUAUUGCACAAUGGGCGCAAGCCUGAUGCAGCCAUGCCGCGUGUAUGAAGAAGGCCCUAGGGUUGUAAAGUACUUUCAGUCGGGAGGCGUUACCGACAGAAGAAGCACCGGCUAACUCCGUGCCAGCAGCCGCGGUAAUUC
rnacentral:rRNA from 1 species